UGGACGAUCAAUAAGGCCCAUGGCCUAGGCUAGUGACCUCCAUUGCACUUUGGAGGGGUGCUAGCCUAAGGUCGACCCAAGUGGUCGAGGCUUGCGUCCGCGCGGCCCCUACCCAAUUCUUCAACAAAACGAUUGGGUAGCUUAUUCAAAUCCUGUUUUGAGAAGUACGAAGGCAACCGUCCUCCAUUGUUGGGUCUCAAGUAACUUUUCGAGCUUUCACUCUUAUUUUCAGGCCCCCGAUGAUGAUGAUUUUGAGUCUCCUGCUCCUACAAAAAAGUCACAACAAGAGAGCAGUCGAAUAACUCGUUCUCAAAUGAAGAAUACUCCUACUCCAGUUAAAACAUUGAGGGACUUGCCCUCAACCCCUGAUUCUGAAGCGAAUGCGCAUGUUCAGGCCCCCGAUAAUGAUGAUUUUGAGUCUCCUGCUCCUACAAAAAAGUUGCAACAAGAGAGCAGUCGAAUGACUCGUUCGCAAAUGAAGAAUACUCCUACUCCGGUUAACAUUGUUAGAAUAAGGAGUAAGAAAUGUGAGAGACAAGAAAAAUCCAAAGAAAAAUUGAAAUUUGAUUUGGUUGAUAAAGAUGAUGUAGGCCCCAGUGUUAAACCGAAAAAGAAAAAGAUCGAGGACGUUAAGCAUAAAAAGAGCAAGAUCGAGGACGUUAAGCAUAAAAAGAGCAAGAUCGAGGAUGUUAAGCAUAAAAUGAGCAAGAUCGAGGACAAUGGUGAGAGUGGUCUUGAUUGCAUAUCCAAAGAACAAAGGAUUGCUACUCGCCGCAAAUUGAAGGAGAGAAAAGCUAAGCUGAAGGUUGGAGACUUCUGUAAGCACGUGAUUUGAAGCAAUGUUUGACUGAAUUUGUUGAUCAUUUCUCAACAGGAUUAGUUCUCAUACCGAGACUGAAUUUGUCAGUAUUUUGAAGCAAUGUUUGACUGACACACAACUUCAAAUGUUUCGUGGUAGCUGUUUUGGAUACUUCUUGGACCUGUCUCAAUUUAAAAUUCAAAAUCAACUUAUUAAUUGUAUACUAUUAAGCGAAGUCAUCCCGGGGCGGGAAAUGGAGUUGUGGGUUAAAAUUAAUGGUUAUUUGCUGCGUUUUUGGCAUUAGAGAGUUUGUUGUUAUCAUUGGUUUGAAGUGUGUAGAAGAAGACGCCACUGUCUAUGACAAACCAGAUGUCAAUAGAUUGCUAAAAGAGUAUUUUCCAGGAGAUGGAAAAAAGGCUAUAACGAAGGGGCAGCUUCUUGAUCGCUUCAAGAAAAAGGACUGGAAGUCGGACGAAGAUGCGUUCAAGAUGGCUUUGAUGGUGUUUGUCCAUCAUUUCAUAUUCUCAGAUGCCAAUAAUCAUGGUAUCAACAAAGAUGAUUUUGAUAUCAUUGAAAGUGGUCAAUAUCAGAUGUAUGCUUGGGGAAAAAAUCAUUUGAAGAUAUUUUAAAGACAAUGAGGGACAAAUAGCGUGACUAUUUGACAAUGUAUAGGCUCAGAGGUUUGCCACUUGCGUUACAAAUAUGGUUUUUUUGAGUGUUGCUCUAUGGUUGACAAGUAUCUAGCUGUUCGCAUUGGCACAAAUGUGCCAUGCAUUCUUAAUUGGAAAAUCACUGUAACUCCAACAUAUGCGGAGUUGACAGGCGGGGUGAUCAUGUCUAGUAUCGAAAAGUUGAACUAUAGGAAUAUUUCCCCUACUCGUAAAGAGAUGUCAACUCUGAACAUCGCCACGCGUUUUGAAGUUAAUGCCGAUGAUGUUGCAUCAGGGGAGGUGCCUGCCUUUCACACUGAUAAUUCUGUCUCUGCAUCUCCACCUUGUCCUCAGAAUCUGGAGCAACAAUCUAAACGACCUUAUCCUCAGAAUACGGAGCAACAACCUAACCCGAGUUAUGAUCAUUCGGCGCACAUUGAUCUAUUGAAUGCUGAAGUUGAGAAGUUGAGGAGUGUUGUUGGAAAGUUGACUGAUAUAGUUAUGACACUCAAUAGUUAUAUAGUUUCUUCCUUUGAAAAAGUAUUCAGUUUUCUGAAUAUGAAGGAAACCAAGCAAACGAGGGAGGAGGUUCCUAAUUCUAAGAUUCGUCAGUGCGUGUCUGAUGACAAUACAUCUGGUUUCGGUGAAUAUGAUGGCUAUCAAUAUGAUAUUGUUCCUGACUUUGUCGGGUAAGUGAAUCAAGAUAACACGCUAGCUGACCAAACAGAUUUAGGUGUCAAAGCAAACGAGGGAGUUAGUGAUGGUGUUGAUCAUGGGGCAGCAGGUGAUGUCAAGGGUGAUACAUUUUGGGAUGACGUUAGCGAUGAAGAUUUAGCUGCGCUACAGAUGUCCCAAAUUGUUCUUCACAAACCACCCAUCAUAGACGUAGAAGAGGAUUACAUUUAUCCUGAACAGUCGGCUCGACAGAAAUACCAGAAAAAUAUGCCAAAUCUCAGUAUUUGCCAGUUUUUGAUUCGGGGGCAUCAGGAUUGACACACAAACUUAUUUUUAUAUCAAGCAUCCUUUCACGAUCGAGAUUGAUGAUUUUGAUCCCUUAUUGCUAUUGGCCAAAGAGUUUUGUUGAUAAUGGAUGGAUACGAGACGAAAGUAUCUUAACUUUCUUUAAGCUUUCAUGUUCUAAUUUUAUACUUGUCAAUGAAGGUAGUUCUGAUUACUUUUUAUUUUUUGUGAGUUGAAGUGCCAAAAAUAUUUAUACCGAUGAAGUAAAUAAGCUUGCAGAAGCUUUCACUU